UACCUUCACAACCUCAUCUUGGUUUUCAUCCAAUGGCAGAAUAUAGUCAGGAAUGUCCUGUUUCUGAUCUGCAUCACCAGACGGUCCAUGGUGCAACUCAGCUAAGUCAGGGAUUCUCUAAUACCGACAUGCAUUCGCAACCAUUUUUUGGGAGUUCCCACCUGAGCCAGAGGACAACAGAACGAGAUCGUCGAGGCAUUUAACAUUCUCUUUCCGGAUCUACAAGAAGACAAUUAUGUUUUCGGAGUUUAUAUCGAGAGCAGUCUUCCUU